rnacentral:tRNA from 1 species
UUGAUAGAAGCCAAAUAUAGAGGCAUAUCACUGUUAAUGAUACAAUUGAAAUACGACUUCCUAUCAAU